GAACGCUGGCGGCGUGCUUAACACAUGCAAGUCGCGCGUGAAAGUCCUUCGGGAUGAGUAAAGCGGCGCACGGGUGAGUAACGCGUGGAUGAUCUACCCAUGAGUUGGGAAUAACGGUUGGAAACGAUCGCUAAUACCCGGUACGUUCCGAUUUCAACUUCGGGAGAAAGGGGGCCUCUGCUUGCAAGCUUCUGCUCAUGGAUGAGUCCGCGUCCCAUUAGCUAGUUGGUGAGGUAACGGCUCACCAAGGCAUCGAUGGGUAGCCGGUCUGAGAGGAUGACCGGCCACACUGGGACUGGAACACGGCCCAGACUCCUACGGGAGGCAGCAGUGGGGAAUAUUGCGCAAUGGGCGAAAGCCUGACGCAGCGACGCCGCGUGAGGGAUGAAGGUUCCUUCGGAUCGUAAACCUCUGUCAAGAGGGAAGAAACGUCAGGGCGCUAAUCAGCCCUGAUCUGACGGUACCUCUAAAGGAAGCACCGGCUAACUCCGUGCCAGCAGCUGC
rnacentral:rRNA from 1 species